rnacentral:rRNA from 1 species
UUGACCUCGGAUCAGGUAGGAUUACCCGCUGAACUUAAGCAUAUCAAUAAGCGGAGGAAAAGAAACCAACAGGGAUUGCCCCAGUAACGGCGAGUGAAGCGGCAACAGGUCAAAUUUGGAAUCUGGCCUUCGGGCCCGAGUUGUAAUCUGGAGAGGAUGCUUCUGGCGCGGUGCCUUCCGAGUUCCCUGGAACGGGACGCCGGAGAGGGUGAGAGCCCCGUACGGUUGGACACCUAGCCUCUGUGAAGCUCCUUCGACGAGUCGAGUAGUUUGGGAAUGCUGCUCAAAAUGGGGAGUAAAUUUCUUCUAAAGCUAAAUAUUGGCCAGAGACCGAUAGCGCACAAGUAGAGUGAUCGAAAGAUGAAAAGCACUUUGAAAAGAGAGUUAAAAAGUACGUGAAAUUGUUGAAAGGGAAG